GAGGUUCUGUAGUGUGCGUGUUGUCUAAUUCGCAGUCUUGCCUUACAGUUUCGUUACUUUGGGACUAGUGCCUCGACACUGGGACGACAUGCCUUUUCACUUGGUAGUUGAAACUUUGUCGGCCAUGGCCCACCUGUCUUAUCCACAGGUCAACACUGAAAGACAAUUAACGGCAUGAACGGAGCCGAU
rnacentral:other from 1 species